UGGGGAAUAUUGCACAAUGGGCGAAAGCCUGAUGCAGCAACGCCGCGUGAGUGAUGAAGGCCUUCGGGUUGUAAAGCUCUGUCUUCUGGGACGAUAAUGACGGUACCAGAAGAGGAAGCCACGGCUAACUACGUGCCAGCAGCCGCGGUAAUACGUAGGUGGCAAGCGUUGUCCGGAUUUACUGGGCGUAAAGGAUGCGUAGGCGGAUACUUAAGUCAGAUGUGAAAAUCCCGGGCUUAACUUGGGAACUGCAUUUGAAACUGGGUAUCUAGAGUGCGGGAGAGGAAAGUGGAAUUCCUAGUGUAGCGGUGAAAUGCGUAGAGAUUAGGAAGAACACCAGUGGCGAAGGCGACUUUCUGGACCGUAACUGACGCUGAGGCAUGAAAGCGUGGGGAGCAAAC
rnacentral:rRNA from 1 species